CCUACGGGAGGCAGCAGUGGGGAAUUUUCCGCAAUGGGCGCAAGCCUGACGGAGCAAGACCGCGUGAGGGAGGAAGGCUCUUGGGUUGUAAACCUCUUUUAUCAGGGAAGAAGAUCUGACGGUACCUGAUGAAUCAGCAUCGGCUAACUCCGUGCCAGCAGCCGCGGUAAUACGGAGGAUGCAAGCGUUAUCCGGAUUUAUUGGGCGUAAAGCGUCCGCAGGUGGUUAUUCAAGUCUGCUGUUAAAGCGCGAGGCUUAACUUCGUACAGGCAGUGGAAACUGGAUGACUGGAGUAUGGUAGGGGUAGCGGGAAUUCCCAGUGUAGCGGUGAAAUGCGUAGAUAUUGGGAAGAACACCAGCGGCGAAAGCGCGCUACUGGGCCAUUACUGACACUCAUGGACGAAAGCUAGGGGAGCGAAAGGGAUUAGAUACCCCUGUAGUCCUAGCUGUAAACGAUGGGUACUAGGUGUUGACCGUAUCGACCCGGUCAGUGCCGUAGCUAACGCGUUAAGUACCCCGCCUGGGAGUAUGCACGCAAGUGUGAAACUCAAAGGGAAUUGACGGCUUGAGCGNGCGAGNGCGACGAGGGAGAGG
rnacentral:rRNA from 1 species